AAAUGAGCAGUAGUAGACUGUUUCACAAAAACAUAUUUUAGUCAAAUAUAGCAUUUUCAGUACUUCUGUACCCUCUUCAGUAUGCCAAGAACUAUUAAUCAGUGUUUUUUCUUUGAUUCUGUCUAUCUGUCCACCUGCUUGUUCUUUAUUCAUAGCACAAUCCUAAUACUGAUGGGUUUCUUAGACUCAUAUCUGCUGACUAUUUUCCAUGUUUUGCAUUUGAUUUCUGCAAGAUACUUUGCCAUAGAUAGCUUCCAUGCAUUCCUGUCUGUUGGAUCCAGAUAAUGAAUUCCUUAUGAUUAAUGGAUCUGUAAGUGUAAUUAGGCCUGAGAUUCCUUCAGCUUCACGGAUUGUGUUUAAGUCUUCCCUGGUUUCUCUGGAAUCUUCAUUCCCAGGAUUGACUUUAGCUUCUGCAUUAUACUCGACAUUAUAUCUUUUUUUAUGGUGUUCUGAUUCAGAUGAGAAUUGUCCAUCCUCUUCCUCUCUGCUGUUGUUCACUAGGAACUGUUGUUGGUUCAGGUUCUCCAUCAGUCUUUUCCUCAAUCAUUUCUACUAUAGUAUUGAGUUGCAGUUCUUGAAUAGAUAUUUUGAAGAUUGUUCAUUUGCUCUAUCUCCCCUUGUUUCAAGUCAUCAC
rnacentral:lncRNA from 1 species